rnacentral:rRNA from 1 species
GACGAACGCUGGCGGCGUGCUUAACACAUGCAAGUCGAACGGAAAGGCCCUGCUUUUGUGGGGUGCUCGAGUGGCGAACGGGUGAGUAACACGUGAGUAACCUGCCCUUGACUUUGAGAUAACUUCAGGAAACUGGGGCUAAUACAGGAUAGGAGCUCCUGCUGCAUGGUGGGGGUUGGAAAGUUUCGGCGGUUGGGGAUGGACUCGCGGCUUAUCAGCUUGUUGGUGGGGUAGUGGCUUACCAAGGCUUUGACGGGUAGCCGGCCUGAGAGGGUGACCGGCCACAGUGGGACUGAGAUACGGCCCAGACUCCUACGGGAGGCAGCAGUGGGGAAUAUUGCACAAUGGGCGGAAGCCUGAUGCAGCAACGCCGCGUGCGGGAUGACGGCCUUCGGGUUGUAAACCGCUUUCGCCUGUGACGAAGCGUGAGUGACGGUAAUGGGUAAAGAAGCACCGGCUAACUACGUG